UACGUAGGGGGCAAGCGUUGUCCGGAUUUAUUGGGCGUAAAGAGCGUGUAGGCGGCCAUGCAGGUCCGUUGUGAAAACUCGAGGCUCAACCUCGAGACGCCGGUAAACCGUAUGGCUAGAGUCCGGAAGAGGAGAGUGGAAUUCCUGGUGUAGCGGUGAAAUGCGCAGAUAUCAGGAAGAACACCCGUGGCGAAGGCGGCUCUCUGGGACGUGACUGACGCUGAGACGCGAAAGCGUGGGGAGCAAACAGG
rnacentral:rRNA from 1 species